rnacentral:tRNA from 1 species
GCUGGCGUGCGACGACGCGGAGGUCGCGGCGUGGUCCGCGCUCGCGCUGGCCCAGGCCGAUCACCAGGACGCCGCGUUCGAGUCGUCGAUCCGGCGC